UUCCGGUUGAUCCUGCCGGACCCGACUGCUAUUUGGGUGAGGAUAAGCCAUGCGAGUCGAAUGGGAUACCUAAAUUUCCCAUGGCGAACUGCUCAAUAACACAUGAUCAACUUACCCUAUAGAGAAAAAUAACCUCGGGAAACUGAGGAUAAUGUUUCAUAGUUGAAAAGGCUUGGAAAAGUUUUUCGACCAAAGGGAUAAGAAAAAUGGUUUUUAUCCGCUAUAGGAUAGGAUCGUGGUCGAUUAUGGUCGUUGGUGAGGUAAUGGCUCACCAAGCCGAUAAUCGAUAGGGGCCGUGAGAGCGGGAGCCCCGAGAUGGGUACUGAGACAGCGACCCAGGCCUUACGAGGCGCAGCAGGCGCGGAACCUCCGCAAUACACGAAAGUGUGACGGGGUUACCCAAAGUGUUCAAUUUUGAACUGUGGUAGGUGAGUAAUGUUCCCUACUAGAAAGGAGAGGGCAAGGCUGGUGCCAGCCGCCGCGGUAAAACCAGCUCUUCAAGUGGUCGGGAUAAUUAUUGGGCUUAAAGUGUCCGUAGCCGGUUUAGUAAGUUCCUGGUAAAAUCGGGUAGCUUAACUAUCUGCAUGCUAGGAAUACUGCUAUACUAGAGGACGGGAGAGGUCUGAGGUACUACAGGGGUAGGGGUGAAAUCUUAUAAUCCUUGUAGGACCACCAGUGGCGAAGGCGUCAGACUGGAACGUGCCUGACGGUGAGGGACGAAAGCCAGGGGAGCGAACCGGAUUAGAUACCCGGGUAGUCCUGGCCGUAAACGAUGCAUACUAGGUGAUGGCAUGGCCAUGAGCCAUGUCAGUGCCGUAGGGAAACCGUUAAGUGUGCCGCCUGGGAAGUACGGUCGCAAGGCUAAAACUUAAAGGAAUUGGCGGGGGAGCACCACAAGGGGUGAAGCCUGCGGUUCAAUUGGAUUCAACGCCGGAA
rnacentral:rRNA from 1 species